CCUCUCUUUAGCACAAAACGAAUUCAAUUCAACAAUUUCAAUAUCAAACAAAAGCUGAUUUUAGACUUUUUCAAAUGUCAAAAGUGACAUCUCUGUAUACAUUGUGUCCACGUAUAAGAAUUUGAUGAACAGUGACGGAUAUGAAGUGUCAUAAGCAGAUAAAGACGUGAACUAAGCACGCGUGAUAAUCUCGUGUCAGCUCUUAAUUUACUUGUGUAGUCAAAAAAUCACUAUGUGUUCAUCUCUAUUAAUUGCAUACGGAUUUACAGAUUAAAUAGCCUAAAGAAAUAUGGAAGUUCGUUCAACGAUAGCAAGGCGAAUUCACAUAGGGUGGUGGCAGUUCUGCUACAACAACCUUUUACAUGUAUUUUGUUUUUGCAUUUAGUUUACGUAAUUGUCAAAAACCAUAAGAACGACGAAUUCAUUUUAUGUUUUUUUUUUUUUUUUAAUUUUGAUAUUUUAUUAAAAAAUAAAUAUAAAGAUGUAAAGAUAUGAUAAAAUAAAGUACAUGUACGGAAUAGGAUUAACCAAGAUAGAAUGUAAAUUAGAUUAUUAUAAAACAAUAUGUUAACCAAAGAAUAUAAAGAAAUUGGGGCUUGUCAGUUGGUACGUAAAGGAGUUGUCAUUCGGUACCUAACUCUAAGUAUGUAUUGGUAGAAUUUUAGAAUUGGAGCUCCAAAGACUUUCACCACACUUUCCAAACAUACAUACUUGCAUAAAAUCGUACAUAAAAAUUUUAGGAAAAAUAAAUAACAUUUAAAUUUCUACAUUCGCAGAUUUUUUAAUUUAUUUUGCCCACAUCUAAUCAGUAAACAUUUAAUAAAUAUAUUUUUCGGA